rnacentral:rRNA from 1 species
GGUGAACGCUGGCGGUAGGCCUAACACAUGCAAGUCGAACGGCAGCACAGUAAGAGCUUGCUCUUACGGGUGGCGAGUGGCGGACGGGUGAGGAAUACAUCGGAAUCUACUUUUUCGUGGGGGAUAACGUAGGGAAACUUACGCUAAUACCGCAUACGACCUACGGGUGAAAGCAGGGGAUCUUCGGACCUUGCGCGAUUGAAUGAGCCGAUGUCGGAUUAGCUAGUUGGCGGGGUAAAGGCCCACCAAGGCGACGAUCCGUAGCUGGUCUGAGAGGAUGAUCAGCCACACUGGAACUGAGACACGGUCCAGACUCCUACGGGGGGCAGCAGUGGGGAAUAUUGGACAAUGGGCGCAAGCCUGAUCCAGCCAUACCGCGUGGGUGAAGAAGGCCUUCGGGUUGUAAAGCCCUUUUGUUGGGAAAGAAAAGCAGCAGGUUAAUACCCCGCUGUUCUGACGGUACCCAAAGAAUAAGCACCGGCUAACUUCGUG